GGGCAAGCGUUAUCCGGAUUUACUGGGUGUAUAGGGCGCGUAGACGGCCUGGCAAGCCCGCUGUGAACGCCCGGGGCUCCACCCCGGCACUGCAUUUGGAACUGUCAGGCUAGAGUGUCGGAGAGGUAAGCGGAAUUCCUAGUGUAGCGGUGAAAUGCGUAGAUAUUAGGAGGAACACCAGUGGCGAAGGCGGCUUACUGGACGAUGACUGACGUUGAGGCUCGAAAGCGUGGGGAGCAAACA
rnacentral:rRNA from 1 species